rnacentral:rRNA from 1 species
UACGAAGGGAGCGAGCGUUGUUCGGAAUCACUGGGCGUAAAGCGUGCGUAGGCGGUUUUGUAAGUCAGAAGUGAAAGCCUGGGGCUCAACCUCAGAAUUGCUUUUGAGACUGCAAAGCUAGAGUAUUGGAGAGGUCAGUGGAAUUCCGAGUGUAGAGGUGAAAUUCGUAGAUAUGCGGAGGAACACCAGUGGCGAAGGCGGCUCACUGGCUCGAUACUGACGCUGAGGUGCGAAAGCGUGGGGAGCAAACAGG